GAUGAAGAACGUAGCAAAAUGCGAUAAGUAAUGUGAAUUGCAGAAUUCAGUGAAUCAUCGAAUCUUUGAACGCACAUUGCGCCCGCCAGUAUUCUGGCGGGCAUGCCUGUUCGUGCGUCAUUUCAACCCUCAAGCUCAGCUUGGUGUUGGGACUCGCGGUAACCCGCGUUCCCCAAAUCGAUUGGCGGUCACGUCGAGCUUCCAUAGCGUAGUAAUCAUACACCUCGUUACUGGUAAUCGUCGCGGCCACGCCGUAAAACCCCAACUUCUGAAUGUUGACCUCGGAUCAGGUAGGAAUACCCGCUGAACUUAAGCAUAUCAUUAAGCGGAGGA
rnacentral:misc_RNA from 1 species